UACGAAGGGUCCAAGCGUUAUCCGGAUUUAUUGGGUUUAAAGGGUGCGUAGGCGGCUUAUUAAGUCAGUGGAUGAAAGACUUCAGCUUAACUGAAGAACUGCCAUUGAUACUGAUGAGCUUGAGUACAGUUGAGGUGGGACGGAAUGUGUCAUGUAGCGGUGAAAUGCUUAGAUAUGACACAGAACACCGAUUGCGAAGGCAGCUCGCUAAACUGUAACUGACG
rnacentral:rRNA from 1 species